UACGUAGGUGGCAAGCGUUAUCCGGAAUCACUGGGCUUAAAGCGUGCGUAGGCGGAUGUGCAGGCGUCGUGUGAAAGCCCUCGGCUCAACCGGGGAAUUGCACGGCGAACCGCACGUCUCGAGACAAGUAGGGGCGGUCGGAACGAUAGGUGGAGUGGUGAAAUGCGUUGAUAUCUAUCGGAACGCCAAAGGUGAAGACAGGCCGCUGGGCUUGUUCUGACGCUGAUGCACGAAAGCGUGGGGAGCAAACGGG
rnacentral:rRNA from 1 species